AACGUAGGUGGCAAGCGUUAUCCGGAAUUACUGGGCGUAAAGGGUGUGCAGGAGGGGAAGCAAGUGGUGUAUGAAAUCUCCCAGCUUAACUGGGAUAGGUUAUGCCAGACUGCUUUUCUAGAGGACGAGAGAGGGGGGUGGAAUUCCGGGUGUAGUGGUGAAAUGCGUAGAGAUCCGGAGGAACCCCAGAGGCGAAGGCGGCCCCCUGGCUCGUACCUGACGCUCAGCCACGAAAGCAUGGGGAGCGAACGGG
rnacentral:rRNA from 1 species